AUUGAACGCUGGCGGCAGGCCUAACACAUGCAAGUCGAGCGAGCGGCGGACGGGUGAGUAAUGUCUGGGAAACUGCCUGAUGGAGGGGGAUAACUACUGGAAACGGUAGCUAAUACCGCAUACCAUCAGAUGUGCCCAGAUGGGAUGAGCUAGUAGGUGGGGUAACGGCUCACCUAGGCGACGAUCCCUAGCUGGUCUGAGAGGAUGACCAGCCACACUGGAACUGUGACACGGUCCAGACUCCGACGGGAGGCAGCAGUGGGGAAUAUUCCACAAUGGGUGCAAGCCUGAGGCAGCCAUGCCGCGUGUGGGAAGAAGGCCUUCGGGUUUUAAAGCACUUCCAGCGGGGAGGCGUUACCCGCAGAAGAAGCACCGGCUAACUCCGUGCCAGCAGCCGCGGUAAUAC
rnacentral:rRNA from 1 species